rnacentral:rRNA from 1 species
AUACGUAGGUGACAAGCGUUAUCCGGAUUUACUGGGCGUAAAGGGCGUGUAGGCGGUCUUGCAAGUCAGAAGUGAAAUUCCUGAGCUCAACUCGGGCGCUGCUUCUGAAACUGCAGGACUUGAGUGCUGGAGGGGAUAGCGGAAUUCCUAGUGGAGCGGUAAAAUGCGCAGAUAUUAGGAAGAACACCGGUGGCGAAGGCGUCUAUCUGUACAGUAAGUGACACUGAGGCGCGAAAGCGUGGGGAGCAAACAGGAUUAGAUCCCCUGGUAGUCCACGCUGUAAACGAUGAAUACUAGGUGUAGGGGGUAUCGACUCCCUCUGUGCCGCAGUUAACACAAUAAGUAUUCCGCCUGGGGAGUACGGCCGCAAGGUUGAAACUCAAAGGAAUUGACGGGG